GACGAACGCUGGCGGCGUGCUUAACACAUGCAAGUCGAACGGACUGGCCCCGCUUUUGUGGGGUGCUCGUGUGGCGCACGGGUGUGACACACGUGAGUAUCCUGCCCUUUACUUUGUGACCACUUCAGGAAUCUGCGGCUACCACCUGCUCGCUGCUCCUGCUGCAUGGUGCGGGAUGGAAUGUUUCGGCGGCUGGGUAUGGACUCGCGGCUUUUCAGCCUGUUGGUGGGGUAGUGGCUUACCAAGGCUUUGACGGGUAGCCGGCCUGAGAGGGUGACCGGCCACAUUGGGACUGAGAUACGGCCCAGACUCCUACGGGAGGCAGCAGUGGGGAGUAUUGCACAAUGGGCGGAAGCCUGAUGCAGCAACGCCGCGUGCGGGAUGACGGCCUGCGGGUUGUAAACCGCUUUCGCCUGGGACGAAGCGUGAGUGACGGUAAUGGGUAAAGAAGCACCGGCUAACUACGUG
rnacentral:rRNA from 1 species